UGGGGAAUCUUGCGCAAUGGGCGAAAGCCUGACGCAGCCAUGCCGCGUGAAUGAUGAAGGUCUUAGGAUUGUAAAAUUCUUUCACCGGGGACGAUAAUGACGGUACCCGGAGAAGAAGCCCCGGCUAACUUCGUGCCAGCAGCCGCGGUAAUACGAAGGGGGCUAGCGUUGCUCGGAAUUACUGGGCGUAAAGGGAGCGUAGGCGGACAUUUAAGUCAGGGGUGAAAUCCCGGGGGCUCAACCUCGGAACUGCCUUUGAUACUGGGUGUCUUGAGUGUGAUAGAGGUAUGUGGAACUCCGAGUGUAGAGGUGAAAUUCGUAGAUAUUCGGAAGAACACCAGUGGCGAAGGCGACAUACUGGAUCAUUACUGACGCUGAGGCUCGAAAGCGUGGGGAGCAAACAGGAUUAGAUACCCUGGUAGUCCACGCCGUAAACGAUGAUUGCUAGUUGUCGGGGUGUUUACACCUCGGUGACGCAGCUAACGCAUUAAGCAAUCCGCCUGGGGAGUACGGUCGCAAGAUUAAAACUCAAAUGAAUUGAC
rnacentral:rRNA from 1 species